GGGGAUAUAGCUUAGUGGUAGAGCACUUGCCUAGCAUGCUGAAGGCCCUGGGUUCAAUCCCCAGUACCUA
rnacentral:tRNA from 1 species